rnacentral:rRNA from 1 species
CUGAACCCUCUCAUCUAGAGGAAGGAGAAGUCGUAACAAGGUCUCCGUAGGUGAACCUGCGGAGGGAUCCAUAGCAAUCGUAAACAACAUGUCGGUCACAAAAGCGAGAGGGGGCGCUCUCUCCACCGACCCUCCUUGGCUAGGGCUGCGCGUCCCAGCGUCGCCAGACCCAGGCCUCACUGCCACGGUGCCGUGUGCCCUGCCACCCCCGGAAUAACGUUGUUCCACCAGGGGCGGUCGGGAUGCAAGCACGCGGUACGGGCUUACGGCCGGAAGGUGGCGCGCCCUUGGCACCUGUGCCAAGCGUGCGUGACCUUUCGGUCGGAAGCCGGGGCUGCCUGCCCUCCAGCAGCUCGCUGCUGGGCGGGUCGGGUGUGCUCCCCAACCGUCAUACUACAUACAACCACCAACCCAACAUCAACCUGUAUAUGUGCCUUGCGCGUCUAGCACGCCAAGCAAACUAACUGAUAGUAACACUGUACAAUGGAUUUCUUGGCUCCCACAUCGAUGAAGAACGCAGCAAAGCGCGAUAGGUAGUGUGAAUUGCAGAAUUCCGUGAAUCAUCGAAUUUUUGAACGCAUAUUGCGCUCAAGUCUCCGGACUUGAGCAUGUCUGCCUCAGCGUCGUUUUAAAUGGCAUGCCGUCCAUGACUCUUGCCGCUCCUGACGGGGGGCAUGGGUUAAAGCCGUGUAGUCCGGCACGUCGUCGACGUUGGUCGUUUGCCGACCAAAGCCUGGUUGUUCGCAACUAGUUUUGGGCACCUUCUUGGGUUGUGCGCUCUCACCAGUGUUCUCCCAAGAACCACCGAGCAAGCGUGCGUUGUCGUUGGCGACGUGCGGCAGCAGCCUUCGCGGCACUGCUCAUUGUAGGCACAGGUUACCUCGCGUAGCUACAGUUUACUAUGGGAGGCGUUUGCGAAACUUGCGCUGCGCAACACACCAUUCGACCUGAGUUUAGGCAGGGCUACCCGC